rnacentral:lncRNA from 1 species
GGCAUCCAAAAUUGAUCACAAUCAGCCAUGUUACCACCCCUUAAGACCCCAUGUUUAAAUAGGAGAAGGGAUAGGGUUUAGGUGAGAGUCCAAACUCCUUUGGACUCUAGAAUUGUGCCGCCCACCCUUUUUCUUUUUGCGCCCACAUAUCUCAUUGAGAAAAGAGAGUUCAACAUGAACUCUUACAUGCACAAGGGAGAGG